ACUUGAACUUCGGUUUGGGUGGCGGACGGGUGAGUAACGCGUAAAGAACUUGCCUCACAGCUAGGGACAACAUUUGGAAACGAAUGCUAAUACCUGAUAUUAUGAUUAUAUGGCAUCGUAUAAUUAUGAAAGCUAUAUGCGCUGUGAGAGAGCUUUGCGUCCCAUUAGCUAGUUGGAGAGGUAACGGCUCACCAAGGCGAUGAUGGGUAGCCGGCCUGAGAGGGUGAACGGCCACAAGGGGACUGAGACACGGCCCUUACUCCUACGGGAGGCAGCAGUGGGGAAUAUUGGACAAUGGACCAAGAGUCUGAUCCAGCAAUUCUGUGUGCACGAUGAAGUUUUUCGGAAUGUAAAGUGCUUUCAGUUGGGAAGAAAAAAAUGACGGUACCAACAGAAGAAGUGACGGCUAAAUACGUGCCAGCAGCCGCGGUAAUACGUAUGUCACAAGCGUUAUCCGGAUUUAUUGGGCGUAAAGCGCGUCUAGGUGGUUAUGUAAGUCUGAUGUGAAAAUGCAGGGCUCAACUCUGUAUUGCGUUGGAAACUGUGUAACUAGAGUACUGGAGAGGUAAGCGGAACUACAAGUGUAGAGGUGAAAUUCGUAGAUAUUUGUAGGAAUGCCGAUGGGGAAGCCAGCUUACUGGACAGAUACUGACGCUAAAGCGCGAAAGCGUGGGUAGCAAACAGGAUUAGAUACCCUGGUAGUCCACGCCGUAAACGAUGAUUACUAGGUGUUGGGGGUCGAACCUCAGCGCCCAAGCAAACGCGAUAAGUAAUCCGCCUGGGGAGUACGUACGCAAGUAUGAAACUCAAAGGAAUUGACGGGGACCCGCACAAGCGGUGGAGCAUGUGGUUUAAUUCGA
rnacentral:rRNA from 1 species